UAUUUAGAUUGUUAUUGUGACCAUUUCUUACAUUGUUAAUUGUUUGAUUUAGUCAUGAGAUUCUAAUAGGUUUGUGCGACUUAAGACAACAUUUUGACCUACUUUUCAACCUCAAAAAUUACGGAAAAGUCAAAGUGAUCUUCAAUGGUUUGUUCAAUUGAAAUGGAAACCGACUCUUGAUACCAACAAGUUAUUAGAUAAGAGGAGUUACCAAGAAAAGAGGGAAAUCAUCGAUGAUACAUCAAUGGAUAAUAUCAAGCUGUGAUUAAUUAAUAAUAAAUGAAAUCAACACUACAAACUUGUGACUACUGAAAUUGAUCAUUUCCAUCUUUAAUAAAGUUAACUUUAUCAGCAACCAGAGCAAGUUGAAAGGUUACUUCAAGCUGUUAAUCAUCAUCCUGUAAACCAUUUGAAUAAAUCAAUUGAAUAAGAAAGAAAAAGAGAAAGAAAGAAACCAUUAAACCUGACAACAAUCAACAUAUCAUUCACCAUUGAUUAGAGAGCAAUCACAGUUGGAAUCACCAGGUUCAGUUGGAAACCAAAAUUGAACUACAGUUACAUGGCGACUGGAAAGGCGAAGCAAAAGCCUCUUAUUGCUCCAAAUAAGACCGAAAAAUUAUCUCCAAAUGAAUGCCUAUUGUUAAAGGGUUUUGGGUUUUGUGUCAACUGGUCUUUUCCUGGUUAAUGUUUGCUUCUUCUGUUUGUUUAAUACCAAAGGAAAAAUAACAAGGAUUAGGUAAAAGGUAAGCAAAGCAACUAUCAUCAAGUUGAAAGUAAAAAUUAUGUACGAAAAAUGGAAAAGUCUUAAUUGAAAGUCAACCGGAUUUACCUUUUCCAUUUAACCUUGUAAACCGGUAACAGGUAAAGAUACUUUCAGUCUUCUCAUUCUUUGAGGAUUAAAAAUAAAGAUGAUGGUGGGAGGCAAGUGAUGACCUAUCCCUUUUUAUCCCUGUAUUAAAUGUACUCUUCCUUUCUCUCUAUCACCAUCAUCCUAGUAAUCAUCAUUAUCAUUCUCUUUGCAAAUUAAAUAAAGGAAUAUUGGUUAAA